AAGAUUAAAAAAAUAAAAACUAACAUGUAAAACCUUUUUAUGUCUUUCAUUAGUAUUAUUUUUAUCUCUGUUAAAACAAAACAAAUUUAAUUUAAAAAUUUAAUUAAUUAAAAAAAAAAUAGAAAGGAAAUGGAAAGUGAAGACCCAGAAGCUCGUCUUCUCCAAUCUUCCAAAACGUUCCUCUCUCUAGAGACAUUCAUCUCCUUCCACACUCAAAACAGAAACAAACUCACAGAAAGAAAACCAAACAUUAUUCUUAACCCAAUACUCGUUUCAUCCUAUCAUCUUCUUCUCAACAAAACCAAAACGUACCGACAACAAACAACUAGGAAAACGCUGAACCUUUCCUAAAGCAAAAUCAAAAGAUGCAAACAAAAGGUCACAUGUUAUGAGGAUGUCGAGAGAAAUGUGAU
rnacentral:lncRNA from 1 species